AUUGAACGCUGGCGGUAUGCUUAACACAUGCAAGUCGAACGGCAGCAUGGUCUAGCUUGCUAGACUGAUGGCGAGUGGCGGACGGGUGAGUAACGCGUAGGAAUAUGCCUUGAAGAGUGGGACAACUUGGGGAAACUCAAGCUAAUACCGCAUGUACUCGAGAGAGUAAAGCUGGGGACCUUUAGGCCUGGCGCUUUAAGAUUAGCCUGCGUCCGAUUAGCUAGUUGGUAGGGUAAAGGCCUACCAAGGCGACGAUCGGUAGCUGGUCUGAGAGGAUGAUCAGGCACACGGGAAUUGAGAGACGGUCCAGAGUCCUACGGGAGGCAGCAGUAGGGAAUAUUGGACAAUGGGAGGAACCCUGAUCCAGCAAUGCCGCGUGUGUGAAGAAGGCCUGAGGGUUGUAAAGCACUUUCAGUGGGGAAGAGGUUUGAAAGGUUAAGAGCUUUUCAAAUGGACGUUACCAACAGAAGAAGCACCGGCUAACACCGUGCCAGCCGCCGCGGUAA
rnacentral:rRNA from 1 species